CAGGUAUCCCCUGAAUCGCCCUCGUUGUUCUGAGAGCCUCGGGAAAAGGCCCAGCGCUCCAGGAACCAACGCUUUGAAGAAGAGACACAGUCACGUUCAAACCAAUCUGACCUUGAAGGGCAGGAUGCUUAGAGCCCAGCUGCCUGGCUGGGGUUUAAGAGAAGAUUAUUUCCAGAAAGAAAUGAGGCAGCUCUUUCAGCCUCAGGCCUAAGGUGAUUUUUUUUUCCUCCAUGGAUUUUUUAGGCAGUGAAAUAAGACUGAGCCUUUAUUUAUGAAGCCUCUUUCCUGUAAGAGCUCUGUGCCUUGUUUGCCCUGGAAACACUACCCGGGUAGAAAGCUGUGGGGGAGUUAGCCUGUCUCAUAGGUGGAGGAAGGGGGCAGGUCCUUGGCAGGCAAGUGGCUUACCCUGGUCACAAAGCCAGACAGUCUCCAGGUGAUAUGAAUUGCAUCUGUGUUUCUGGAACAUUCUGGUACAUUCAUCUUUCCACUGGAGUGGGUUUUCCAAACCUUGGCACUGUGGACAUCUGAGCCCAGUAAUUUUCUGUUGUGGGGGGUUGCCUGCUGCACUGCAGGGCGUUUUAGCAGCUUCCCUGGCUUCUCCCCACUGAAUGCCAGUAGCAUCUCCCCUCCAAGUGGUGACAACUGAAAUGUCUCCAGAUGUGCUGAGUGAGAACCGCUGGCCUAGAGGGCAGGGCAGGCCUCUUAUUUGAAGACAACAGGACCUUGGGGUCCCUUGAUCUGCAGAAGCCCCUUCACAUCUCAGGCGCAUGUGUCCUUCAUCAGUGAGGACCACUCUAACUUCGAUCCUCGCCCCCUGAGCCCAGCAGCUGAGGUUUUGCCCGCCGUCCAGCCCUGCUGCCCUCAGGCCUCUCUGAGAUGGCCUUCUCUCUGCGCGUGCUCCUGUCUGCCACCUCUCCUGCUUCCUCCACACCAGAAGGUUCUGCCUCAGCCCCACUGCCCUCCCCGGGACUAUGGGCCAGCUUUUCUCACCUCUCAGUUAUCAGAGGGAAAAGGAAGAUUCUCCAAGAGGCUGGAAACCACUGGAUUAUGACUAGGUCCCCAACAGUGAUGGGGACAUGGCGGACAUGGCCUGGUAGACAGAGACCACAGGUGAAGGCAGGUCACACUCACUCGAGCAAGGCGAGCCACGGAAGGUGUGGCAAUCAAGCCCGCGUGACACUGUGGCCGGAGAGGACACCAUAAAUGCCUCCUAUCAUGUGAGCUCUUUUAGUUCUAUGAUUGGGGAAGGAGUGGGGUGGAUGCAGGUUCUGGGGGGCUCAAAGAUUAUAAAUUUUUUUUUUUUGAGAAGGGAGUUUCCCUCUUGUCGCCCAGGCUGGAGUGCAAUGGCGCGGUCUUGGCUCACUGCAAACUCCACCUCCCAGAUUCAAGUGAUUCUUCUGCCCCAGCCACCCAAGUAGCUGGGAUUACAGGCAUCUGCCACCAUGCCUGGCUAAUUUUUGUAUUUUUAGUAGAGACGGGGUUUUGCCAUGUUGACCAGGGUGGUCUCGAACUCCUGACCUCAGGUGAUCUGCCCUCCUCGGCCUCCCAAAGUGCUGAGAUUACAGGCUUGAGCCAUUGUGCCCGGCCCCAAAGGCUAUACAAUUUGAAAGCCUUCACUGAAUAAAAGAAUACAAAAUUAUGAACACAAAAUUGUUAGAGCCCUUCCAGGGCCUUGGAAGAGGCUGUACAGGUGAGAGGUCCCAGACAUAAGCUGCAUCAACUGCAUAAUAAAUAUGUGUGCAAAAAAGAGAGAGAGAGAGAGAGAGAGGGUGCAUGCAGCUGGUCUCUUUCCACCUGAGCUCUCUUGGGCGUGGUGUCCCAGACAUGCCAUGAAAUAAGUCUGAUUUGCUAGUGGGUGAUAGUGCCCCCUCCAAACCCAGCUCCUGACCCGGUGCCCUGGGCAAGGACUACCCCUCACCAAUCACUUCCCAGAAUUUUGUGAUGCAGAAAUCAGAUUAGAAAGGCAGGAGGGAAGAGAGAAGGAGUUGCCCAGAGAAGCCAAGUUUGUCUGUAAAAAUAACAAAGACUUGGUAGAAGGGAGGCCAGGAGGAAGAAGAAAACUCCACAGGCAGCAAGUUUGAGCUCCUGGAGAGCUUGCAGAAGGUGGAUGUAGUUUUGAUAAGUGAUGUUGUUGGUUAGGAACUGCAUCUCCUGGUGUUCUUUGAGAGACACAAGCAAAUGUCCAAAUACCUUUUUGUUGAAUUUUGAUUGUAGCAACAAAUGUGACUAGUGGGAUCAGCUGGGCAACACGGCACCCAGGUAAAGAGGAACACGGCACCCAGGUAAAGAGGGGCCCGGCUUUUAAUAGGGUUAACCUUUCAUCCAAAGAAGGAUUUUCUACCAGAUGCAUGCAUGCAUCGUGUGUGUGUGUGUGUGUGUGUGUGCUUGAGUGCACAUGCAUGUGUAUAAGCAUGAAGAGUAAGAUGUCAGACCUCAAAGCUUGAUAAGAUACAGAGCACCACCUAUGUAUUUUCCCUUUGUGGUGUUCAGGGAAAUUAUUCAAGCUUGGAAAUAAGGGGAAAAGAUUACCAUGUGAAGAGCUUCCCGAAUCAUACUAGAACGUUGUCUAACAAGCCUGAAUAAAAGUUAUCUGACUUUCUGGUGUAACUUUGUUUUCUAACCAUUACUAUUGAUCAGAGCCCAGGCUCUGAAAAGUUAAAGGCUGACUUGUGGGAGAUUGGUAAGUAGGAAAUGAUGGCGUGUCAAGAAGAGAUGCAAAUGAUUAACAUCCGAUAGAAAAGAUAACCUGAGUUUACAAAUUGUUUUGGCUCUGAAGGACGCAGGAGACAAACCAGCUUUGUACUGAACAUUUCCUCAGUUCUCUCCAUCCUCUUUUGAGUCAGCUUUGUCAUUAUGCUGGUUCCUUCAUUAAUGAAUAAAGCAAUCUUGGCAUGUACUCACCGUGUGCUUAGAUGAGAAUUCUG
rnacentral:lncRNA from 1 species